rnacentral:rRNA from 1 species
AGAGUUUGAUCCUGGCUCAGAUUGAACGCUGGCGGCAUGCCUUACACAUGCAAGUCGAACGGUAACAGGUCUUUCGGGAUGCUGACGAGUGGCGAACGGGUGAGUAAUACAUCGGAACGUGCCUAGUAGUGGGGGAUAACUACUCGAAAGAGUGGCUAAUACCGCAUGAGAUCUAUGGAUGAAAGCAGGGGACCUUCGGGCCUUGUGCUACUAGAGCGGCCGAUGGCAGAUUAGGUAGUUGGUGGGAUAAAAGCUUACCAAGCCUACGAUCUGUAGCUGGUCUGAGAGGACGAUCAGCCACACUGGGACUGAGACACGGCCCAGACUCCUACGGGAGGCAGCAGUGGGGAAUUUUGGACAAUGGGGGAAACCCUGAUCCAGCAAUNCCGCGUGCAGGAUGAAGGCCUUCGGGUUGUAAACUGCUUUUGUACGGAA